CCUUUUAGACUGGAGCUAAGACCCCCCCAAUGUGGCACUGGCGUCUCCGGGGCUGGGGGGGGUGCGUGGCUGGGGGAUUCCCCAAGUGUGGGGGAGGGAUCGUCCCAUUAUGGGGCUGAGACCCUUCAGUGUGGGGCUGGGAAGUGGAGCCAGGAGUGGGAAUUGGACCCCCAGGAUCGGGUUUUGGGGCUGAUCGGCGUGGGAGCUGGGAGGCCUAGGAAUGUGGAUGGGACCCGCUCGGGAUCGGGAUUCAAGACUGGGACCCCUCAGUAUGGGGCUGGGAUCCUCUAGUGUGGGGCUGGGUCCCCAGGCGGUGGGGUUGGGAUGCCCCGGGGAUCAAAAUGUGGGGCUGGGGGCCUCCCGGGAUCGGGGUGUGGGACAGGGGCUCCCCCGGAUGUGGGGCUGCGACUUCCCAAUGGGGUUGGAGCCCCUCAAUUUCCCCCCGAUAGGGACUGGGUACCACCGUGGUGGCACUGGGGACUCUCAGGGAUCAGGGUGCAGGGUUGGGACCUCCUAUUGUGGCACUGAGGACACCCGGGCUGGGGGUGCCUACUGGCGCCAGCGGAGCCAUCCCUGUCCCCAUCCCAGUGGCAUUGAGCCCGGCGGCGCCUGGCACCGGCCGUGUCACCCGCGCGCUGGCCGGUGCCACUGUGUCCCCGCGGGGGUUGGGGACAUGGAGGGCGGGUAGGGGCAUGCGUGGGGGACCCCGAUUGCAUCAGUGGUGACCCCCCCAUCUCCCACAGGUGGCCCCGGUGUUCCGAGGCGAUGGCCGACGACCGAGAUGUUCGAUUUGUCACUGAGGAGAGCUUCGACUUUGGCUUGCUGUCCCCAUCGGACAGCCAGGAGGAAGAGGAGGAUGAGGAUAGCCCGGGCGGCGGGUGCCGGCACAAGGGCGGCAACGGGCGCUGGAGUCCCCUGCACGGGGCCCGUCUGGAAGAGAUGGUGCGGGAG